rnacentral:lncRNA from 1 species
CCUAUCUCCUGCCGCCCCAGCCUGUCAAGCAGUUCCUCAUCUCCCCUCCAGCCUCUCCCCCGGUGGGGUGGAAGCAGAGCGAAGAUGCGAUGCCUGUUAUAAAUUAUGAUUUACUCUGUGCUGUUUCCAAAUUGGGACCAGGAGAGAAAUAUGAACUUCACGCGGGAACAGAGUCGACACCCAGCGUGGUGGUUCAUGUCUGUGAAAGUGAAACUGAAGAGGAAGAAGAGACAAAAAACCCCAAACAGAAAAUUGCCCAGACGAGGCGCCCCGACCCUCCGACCGCAGCGUUGAAUGAGCCCCAGACCUUUGAUUGCGCGCUGUGAGGCCCUUGGUUGUGGUGCGAGGCGGCUGCCCUGGUGGGCUCUGGCCAUGGCGCUCUGUGCCUGCGGCCGAUGCGUUGCUGCGAACAGCAUAGGAAAAGAAACCAGAAAUACAGAAUAAUUCAUAGAAAUCAUGGUUCUCAAGUAUUUGUUCAAUUAGCUUUGGGGAAGAAA